rnacentral:rRNA from 1 species
AAUGAACGCUGGCGGCCGGCCUAACACAUGCAAGUCGAACGAAGCCUUCGGGCUUAGUGGCGGACGGGUGAGUAACGCGUGGGAACGUGCCCCUUGGUACGGCAUAGCCCCGGGAAACUGGGAGUAAUACCGUCUGUGGUCGAGAGACGCAAGAUUUCUCGCCGAGGGAUCGGCCCGCGUUGGAUUAGGUAGUUGGUGGGGUAAAGGCCUACCAAGCCGACGAUUCAAAUCUGGUUUGAGAGGAUGAUCAGCCACACUGGGACUGUGACACGGCCCAGACUCCUACGGGAGGCGGCAGUGGGGAAUCUUAGACAAUGGGGGAAACCCUGAUCUAGCCAUGCCGCGUGAUCGAUGAAGGCCUUAGGGUUGUAAAGCUCUUUCAGCGAGGAAGAUAAUGACUGUACUCGCAGAAGAAGCCCCGGCUAACUCCGUUCCAGCAGCCGCCGUAACAC